rnacentral:tRNA from 1 species
AGUAGUAUAGCUCAGUAGUAGAGUGCAUGCUUAGCAUGCAUGAGGUCCUAGGUUCAGUCCCCAGUACCUCUG